rnacentral:rRNA from 1 species
AACGAACGCUGGCGGCGUGCCUAACACAUGCAAGUCGUGCGAGAAAGUUCCUUCGGGAGCGAGUAAAGCGGCGCACGGGUGAGUAACACGUAGGUAACCUGCCCCCCAGUCUGGAACAACUAGAGGAAACUCUAGCUAAUGCCGGAUGAGACCACGAUCCAUUCGGGGGUUGCGGCCAAAGAUGGCCUCUACUUGUAAGCUAUCGCUGAGGGAUGGGCCUGCGGGCCAUUAGCUUGUUGGUGAGGUAACGGCUCACCAAGGCUGUGAUGGCUAGCUGGUCUGAGAGGAUGACCAGCCACACUGGGACUGAGACACGGCCCAGACUCCUACGGGAGGCAGCAGUGGGGAAUAUUGCGGCAAUGGGCGAAAGCCUGACGCAGCGACGCCGCGUGGGUGAUGAAGGCCUCGGUCGUAAGACCUCGUCG